GAUGAAGAACGUAGCGAAUUGCGAUACGUAAUGUGAAUUGCAGAAUUCAGUGAAUCAUCGAAUCUUUGAACGCACAUUGCGCCCGCCAGUAUUCUGGCGGGCAUGCCUGUUCGAGCGUCAUUUCAACCCUCAAGCCCGGCUUGGUGUUGGAGUUCUGUUUGUUUAAAACAGGCUCUGAAAUACAGUGGCGAGCUCACCUGGACUCCGAGCGUAGUAGUUAACGUCGCUCAGGGCGUCCGGCGGGUUUCUGCCGUAAAAUCCCCUAUUUUACAGAAAGGUUGACCUCGGAUCAGGUAGGAAUACCCGCUGAACUUAAGCAUAUCAAUAAGCGGAGGA
rnacentral:misc_RNA from 1 species